rnacentral:rRNA from 1 species
GACGAACGCUGGCGGCGUGCUUAACACAUGCAAGUCGAACGGAAAGGCCCCUUUGGGGGUACUCGAGUGGAGAACGGGUGCGUAAAACGUGAGUAACCUGCCCUUGACUUCGGGAUAACUUCAGGAAACUGGGGCUAAUACCGGAUAGGAAUCCUUGCUGCAUGGUGGGGGUUGGAAAGCUUCGGCGGUUUUGGAUGGACUCGCGGCUUAUCAGCUUGUUGGUGGGGUAGUGGCUUACCAAGGCUUUGACGGGUAGCUGGCCAGAGAGGGCGACCGGCCUCAUUGGGACUGAGAUACGGCCCAGACUCCUACGGGAGGGAGCAGUGGGGAAUAUUGCACAAUGGGCGGAAGCCUGAUGCAGCAACGCCGCGUGCGGGAUGACGGCCUUCGGGUUGGAAACCGCUUUCAGCAGGGGCGAAGCUUGUGGUGACGGUACCUGCAGAAGAAGCACCGGCUAACUACGUG